rnacentral:rRNA from 1 species
UAUCGAUAAGAAGAGAGCGUCUAGGCGAACAAUGUUCUUAAAGUUUGACCUCAAAUCAGGUAGGAGUACCCGCUGAACUUAAGCAUAUCAAUAAGCGGAGGAAAAGAAACCAACCGGGAUUGCCUUAGUAACGGCGAGUGAAGCGGCAAAAGCUCAAAUUUGAAAUCUGGUACCUUCGGUGCCCGAGUUGUAAUUUGGAGAGGGCAACUUUGGGGCCGUUCCUUGUCUAUGUUCCUUGGAACAGGACGUCAUAGAGGGUGAGAAUCCCGUGUGGCGAGGAGUGCGGUUCUUUGUAAAGUGCCUUCGAAGAGUCGAGUUGUUUGGGAAUGCAGCUCUAAGUGGGUGGUAAAUUCCAUCUAAAGCUAAAUAUUGGCGAGAGACCGAUAGCGAACAAGUACAGUGAUGGAAAGAUGAAAAGAACUUUGAAAAGAGAGUGAAAAAGUACGUGAAAUUGUUGAAAGGGAAGGGCAUUUGAUCAGACAUGGUGUUUUGUGCCCUCUGCUCCUUGUGGGUAGGGGAAUCUCGCAUUUCACUGGGCCAGCAUCAGUUUUGGUGGCAGGAUAAAUCCAUAGGAAUGUAGCUUGCCUCGGUAAGUAUUAUAGCCUGUGGGAAUACUGCCAGCUGGGACUGAGGACUGCGACGUAAGUCAAGGAUGC